AUUGAACGCUGGCGGCAGGCCUAACACAUGCAAGUCGAACGGUAACAGGAAGAAGCUUGCUUCUUUGCUGACGAGUGGCGGACGGGUGUGUAAUGUCUGGGAAACUGCCUGAUGGAGGGGGAUAAUUACUGGAAACGGUAGCUAAUACCGCAUAACGUCGCAAGACCAAAGAGGGGGACCUUCGGGCCUCUUGCCAUCGGAUGUGCCCAGAUGGGAUUAGCUAGUAGGUGGGGUAACGGCUCACCUAGGCGACGAUCCCUAGCUGGUCUGAGAGGAUGACCAGCCACACUGGAACUGAGACACGGUCCAGACUCCUACGGGAGGCAGCAGUGGGGAAUAUUGCACAAUGGGCGCAAGCCUGAUGCAGCCAUGCCGCGUGUAUGAAGAAGGCCUUCGGGUUGUAAAGUACUUUCAGCGGGGAGGAAGGGAGUAAAGUUAAUACCUUUGCUCAUUGACGUUACCCGCAGAAGAAGCACCGGCUAACUCCGUG
rnacentral:rRNA from 1 species